GAAUCAUCAGGUAGUAUUUUUUUUCUCUCAAGUUCAGUAUGGGGCUCAUGUUUAUUCUUUCAUCAUUUCAUUAUUAAACUCCCCUUCUACACCUGUUCUACUGGGUACGACCAUGAAGGAGGUCCUCUGCGUUCUCCACCGCCUCGACACCACUGGUGAGGUUCUCCAUACCUCUGACGGAGGACCUCCUACUACGGGUCGUCACAGUGACCCAGUCCCACAGCCUACCCAGCAGUCCGGCCAGGUCGGAGAUGCCGACUGUCCCUUCCGGAGAAGUAUGACGGCACUCCAUUGAAAUGCCGUGGCUUCCUACUCUAAUGCUCCCUCUAUGUCGCCUAUCAGAUGGGAGCCCCCACCAGCGAGAGGUCCAUAGUUGCCACGGUCAUUUCCCUGCUGAACGGAAGGGCGUUGGAGUGGGUUAUAGCCAUCUGGGAGAGAGGAGCUGGGUUCCUAUGAGAGAUUCAUGGCUCUGUUCAGGGCGGUCUUAAACCAUCCUCCAAAGGGCAGAGAGGAAGCCCUGGAUAUGCGACUAUUGGGAUCCGGCACACUCACGCACAUCACAGCACCACUGACCCUCACCGUGGGACCCAAGCACCAGGAAAGCCUUUCCUUCCUCAUCAUCACUGCACCCGUAGACAAAGUCAUCCUUGGCCUCCCGUGGCUCCAACUCCAUAACCCCACCAUCUUCUCGUCAAAGAUGAGAAUCACCACCUGGUGACCAGAAUGCUGGAGGACCAACUUUCCCCCACCCUGUGAUUCCACGUUGAUGGAGGGCCCUGUGAGUCUCCUCCUGCCCAUCAAUCCUCCUGUAUUGUUGGCCCAGUGUUUUGGGACGUAGAUGUGGACAUCUGCCAGGCUCUAGAGAGGGAACCCGCUCUCCCGCUCUAGAACCCGCUCACCUUGCCAGUCCUCCACUGGGCUGACUCCCUUCCAGUGUGUCCUGGAAUAUCAGCCGGCCCUGGCUCCAUGGACUCAGACCAAGGCCCCUGCAGUGGAUGAGUGAUUCUGGCACACAGAGAAGGUGUGGAACCCCGCCCUCGUGAGGCUCCAGCGUGCCGUCUACCGUCAGAAGGAUCAGGCGGACCGCCACCGCAGCGAGGCUAACGUGUUCCAUCCUUGUGCUCGCUUCUGGCUCUCCACCACGAACCUUCCACUCCACCUGCCCUGCCGGAAGCCGAGCCCCCGGUUUGUGGGGCCCUUCAAGGUGCUCCGGAGGGUCAAUGAGGUAACUUAUCAUUUUGACUCCCAACGUCGUCGGGGUCGGCUCCAGUAUCUGGUGGACUGGGAGGGUACGGUCCUGAGGAGUGCUCUUGGGUACCGGUGGCAAAAAUCCUGGACCCCAACAUCAUCCGGGAUUUCCAUCUCAGCCUCUCAGCUUCUAACCACUAGGCUACCCUGCUGCCCCAUUAGGCAGUAUUGUUUUCUCUCACAUUCAGUACGCUUCUCAUGUUUGUUCUUUUGUAUCAUUUCAUUAUUAAACUCACCUUCUGCUCCUG